UAAUAACUCCCCCGGGGAGAAUUCCUCACAUACUGGAAAGCACAGGGCAUUGUCCUGCCAUUAAUUACCCGAGGGAAAUCUUUCAUCUUUGAAUGGUUAGCCCGAAAAGCCAGAUCGGGAUAUCCGCGCUUACCUCAAUGGCGGGGUUCAAGAACCAUUAUUUACUUAGAUUGGUAGGGAAGAACAAACCAGGAGACAAUGACUUUCGGGGUUAGCGGGCUUACCUCAUGGAAUGGCCUCAGAGUGAACGGGGGUACCUCAAUGAGAGUAGACCCUCUUGCACGUGGAAUUCCUCAAAGACAGGAGAGGGAAGACCAGAGACUUUUCCAUUAAUAUAGAAGAAAGCCGAAGGGAAGUUCGGAAAAGCCUAGCAGACGGGACUAUCAACCCCUUUCUAUUAAGACCUCGGCACCUUCCUUACCCCCCUACGAAACAUUUACACCUAUUUUGAAAAGGAAAGCUCCCAGGUUCCACAUCUUAAAGAAGUGCAUGACCAGAUUGGAAGCACUGAGGUUCAUUCGCAAUGGGCCAACUCACCCAGCCAUGAUGUAUGACAGAAGAGAGUGAGCACAAAAAGGAGUUUCCCUCUUGGGUGAGGCUCACAGAAUCUUUUUCAAGACUUUCUAUCCUACGUUGAACUUUCUCUAUAUGACCUUAGUUUGGAAUGUACUUGAAAGCCUUUUCUGGCUCCUUUUUCAUAACAUAAUACUGAUUGAUAUACUUCAACAUUGGGUUGUACCUUCCUCAGGUGUCAAAUGUCCUAUCUUCUUGGGGGGCGGGGCAGCGGACGCGGUUUUCAUGUUGGGACCAGGGCCCUCCGGUUCCACCGGGAUCUUGACCGGGGCAUCCUCUUCUACUUCGGCCCCCGAGGUUUUGGUUUUACCAGAGGGUGAAGUAGACCAAGAGACUAUUUGGAACACUAUGGAGGACAAAAAAAGAAUUAGAUCAGUGGAGCAGCAGUCUAAGAGACGAGAGGCUCAAAUCGAGAAAAUUCUUCAUAAAAGAAAAACCCUUCAUAAAAGUGGCCAACUCCCGCUGAAUAGUAGAAACCCGGAAGAAGAUAUCACUCGAGGCGUGAAACUCUUCUUUUCUGAUCUUUUUUAAAAUUUCACGAAAACCGUGCCCGUCUUUCCAAUGUAGGAAAUGAACGAAGCUCUCUUUGGAAGGAACUGAAAACCCUCAUAGAAGAUGAUUAGGUUAGACAUUGCUCUAUACGCCGGGUUGUAAAUGAAUGACAUAGCGUUCUUGACGUACUGGAGUUAUAACAUUUGAAUUUCUCUGACAUUCUACAUUCCCGAAACGGAUCCUAUCAAAUAUUUUACAUUUUCUAUGAUCAUCUCUAUUUCAGGUAUUCGGGGAAUCCUCCUUAAUAGACGAAAUAUUCCUAUUAUGUCAAUGCCAAUUGAAUCAAUGUUAUUAGCUGUGAAUUUGAACUUUUUGGUAUUUUCUGUUUCUUCGGAUGAUAUGAUGGGUCAAUCAUUUGCUUCAUUGGUUCCAACGGUGGCAGCCGCGGAAUCUGCUAUUGGGUUAGCCAUUUUCGUUAUUACUUUCCGAGUCCAAGGGACUAUUGCUGUAGAAUCUAUUAAUAGCAUUCAAGGUUAAACAUGACUCCUAGAGAGUUACCAAAAUACGAAGUUAUCUUCUCCUUUCGUUCUCUUAUGUCUUUUUUAUUUUGACUUGGUUGGCAGGGUCAGGGCCUUUCUCGCUCGACGAGCGCAUCCGAUUCUAAAGUCCUUUCCUAAACCACUUCCAGUUCAGUUGCUGAAAGAUAGAGAUAAUGCUUUCCAAAUGAAAUUGAGUUCCACGAAUAUGCAGGCUAGAAAGAUGCUAUUUGCUGCUAUUCCAUCUAUUUCUGCAUCAAGUUCGAAGAAGAUCUCAAUCUAUAAUGAAGAAAUGAUAGUAGCUCGUUUUAUAAGCUUUAUCAUAUUCAGUCAGAAGAGUUUAGGUAAUACUUUCCAAGUGACUCUCGACGGGAGAAUCCAGGCUAUUCAGGAAGAAUCGCAGCAAUUCCCCAAUCCUAACGAAGUAGUACCUCCGGAAUCCAAUGAACAACAACGAUUACUUAGGAUCAGCUUGCGAAUUUGUGGCACCGUAGUAGAAUCAUUACCAAUGGCACGAUGUGCACCUAAGUGCGAAAAGACAGUGUAAGGUUUGUUAUGUCGAAACCUAAAUGUUAAGUCAGCAACACUUCCAAAUGCCACUUCUUCCCGUCGCUUCCAUCUUCAGGACAAUCUAGUCACAGGUUUUCACUUCUCAGUGAGUGAAAGAUUUGUCCCCGGGUCUACGUUGAAAGCUUUUAUAGUAGAACUCAUUCGAGAGGGCUUGGUGGUCUUAAGAAUGGUUCGGGUGGGGGCUUUCUCUUAAGAAUAAAGAAGACGAAUAGAAUCUAAUUCAUGUUUAUGCUAACAGAAGAGCGGAUCCAAUACCAAGACGACUUCUUUCUCAGGAAGUGCAGCAAGUACUUGAGGAAUUUUGGGAUUUCAUGCCCCACGAGUGAGUUGCCAAGUGCCCCCUAGGAGGGCAGUCUACCACAAGAUCGAGUUGGAGCCUGGAGCCAAAGCCCCUUAACUUACUUAGACUGGGGCUGGGUUUAGCAGAUGGCCCCCCCAACUAGCAUCUAUUAGUGGCGGGGCUUGGUUGAGCUCAGGAAAGAAUUUCAGGAACUCAUUGAGGCCUAUUUCUAUUCCAGCCUCCAAGGCAGUUUUUCCCUAUCUUGCUGGGGAAAAGGUUGGGGAGCCCCUGUUUUAUUCCAGAAAAAGCGGGAGCCUUGUGCAUUGAUUAUCGGGCGCUCAACAAGGUAACCUAACCAUCAAGAACAAGUAUCCACUUUGAUUGCAGACUUCUUCGCCCUAAUCAAUAAGCGCGAGAUACUUCUCGAAGUUGGAUCUACGGUCGGGCUACUAUCAGGUGCGUAUCGCGGAAGGAGACGAGCCAAAGACGACCUGUGUGACAAGCAAAUAACCUUACUAAUAAAGGGGCCUUUGAUGAUUUGGUUAUGCCUUUUGGACUCACCAAUGCCCCUGCCAUAUUCUGCACCCUCCACAAUGAGCUAUUCUACCCGUACUUAGACGACUGGUUGUAUACUUUGAUCGUGGGCUAUAGCCAUUUGUUAAACGACCACGUUAGCCACCUCCGGGCCGUUUUUAAGGAUGAAUAACCUCUAUGUAAAGAAAGAGAAAUCCUCCUUUGGACAGACGGAGAUCCUAUUCCUACGGCAUUGGAUGGGCAUCAGAGCCAUCGAGGAGUGGCAAGCACUUGUGAGCUAAGAACGUUUUUAGGGCUCGUAAACUAUUACCAAAGAUUCAUCGUAAGUUACUCGAAGAGGGCUGCUCAACUCAAAAAUAUCCUAAAGAAGGACGUACGGACCGAUCAUGGCACUGCACUUUUAGGAAGAGUGUCAAAAGGUAAAGGACCAAAAGCAGGCAGUGAUUGAUGACCCCGUAUUGCAGUUGCCAGAUUACACUAAGAAAUUUGAAGUACACACGAAUGGGUCAGACUGUGCCAUAGGCGCUCUUUCAUUUAGCUACUCUUCAUUCUUUUACCCUAAAGGGUCGGUCAAGCCGUAACAAGCCUAGCAGA
rnacentral:lncRNA from 1 species